rnacentral:rRNA from 1 species
GUGCCAGCAGCCGCGGUAAUACGGAGGGUGCGAGCGUUGUCCGGAAUCACUGGGCGUAAAGGGCGCGUAGGUGGCUGGUCAAGUGCGCGGUGAAAGCCCGGGGCUCAACCCCGGGUCGGCCGUGCAGACUGGGCAGCUUGAGCACUGUAGGGGCGGGUGGAAUUCCGGGUGUAGCGGUGGAAUGCGUAGAGAUCCGGAAGAACACCGGUGGCGAAGGCGGCCCGCUGGGCAGGAAGAGCGUCGUAAGACGUUCGGCUGACACUGAGGCGCGACAGCGUGGGGAGCAAACAGGAUUAGAUACCCCGGUAGUCC